rnacentral:tRNA from 1 species
GCGACCGUAGCCCAACUAGUGAGAGCGCACGAGUACCGCUCUGAAGGUCGCGGGUUCAAGUCCCGCCGGUUGUC